GCAAGUGUUCAAAUGCUGCUCGGUUCAGACAAAAUGUCGACUGCAUCAGAAUAUUGUGACUGUUUUCCAAGUGCAUCAGCGGUUUGGCUGUAAAAAAAAACUCCAGGUCCAGGACCCGAAAGUGAGGUUGCACUCCUGGCUGUCGAAGGGGAAGUAGGAGACGUCCACCACGCAGGAGCUCUUGGUGAUGGCCGGGGCAUCCCAGGUGAUCUCUCCAUUGUAGCGCAGCACCACGUUGGUGUCCAUCGGGCCCGAGAAGUCGUCGUCAGCCCUGGAGGAGAGAGGGACGCCAUCACACUAUGAGGACACUCGCUACUGAGGGUAACGCUGAGAGGACCAGGUCUGGCCUCCACACUGGGGAUGCGGACCACCUACUUGUUAUAGAGGACCAGGUCUGGCCUCCACACCAGACUGCUGGGGAUGCGGAUCACCUCCAGGCCGUCGUAGUCCUCCUUGUUCCACUUGAGAUGGAUCCAAAAGGAGGCACAGCAGGGGUACAGCAGCUGCAGCAGCCCGAAAAAUAAGCUUGACUCCACCCAGGUACUGAACCAAGGAGAGAGUAACCCCAUUAAGACAGUAGCAGUGAUGAACGGGUCCAGACGCACCUCCCAACCUGAACAGCAACAAGAGCUGUCUAUGUAACCGUAGGCUGAUGAAAUGGGUGGAUUCACGUACAGUAGCGCGACAUAAGCCCUGUGAGUGAUCACUGUAAUGUAGUCCUCCCAUCUCGAUUGAUCACUUGUUUGAUUAAAUGUGUUGUUGGCUAUAAAACCUUUGGCCUGGCUGCUGGUGGCCCAUGCAGCCUGUUGAUGUUGAUGUUAUCAGAUUAUCAAAAUCGAUAAUGACUCGAGUCGGGUCAUGUUUGGUAUGAUCAUUUGCAAUGUUUUAUUUAUAAUUUUUUUGAAAUUACAUUUUUGUCAAAAGAAAAUGUGUCAUAAUGUGACACAUUUAGAUAUACUCUUACAUACAAUUACAAUAUGAGGAUAUACCAUGAUCGUCAUACAAUGCCACUGACAAGCAGUCAUCUAAUUGCUCAGUUAUCGUUGGUUUAGUUAUACUAAGUCAACCAUUUAGAUUACUCACGGGCACUCUGUCAGAUUCCCAAGACAGAUAAUGAUGAAAGGAAUAAAACAUAGCAGAGAUGUGAUUAGAUCCUUGAGUAUUUAUUGGACUAAUAUAAAUCGUAGGCAUUAACUCUGGUGGAUGGAAGGUUAAAUCGGGCGUUGGGGACAGAAUCACGACACCGUGUCUGCUCGGGAGGUCAUGAAGCUGCCGAGAUACAAGGUUAACGUCUCCCCUCUGGAGGCGUCCGAGUGGGACCGUGACACGCACCAUGUCUUUGAUCUGAGAGAGGGUGAUCUGCAGGGUCACGUUGAGGGCCUUGUCCGUGUCCUCCACGGGCCGCAGAGCGUUGGAGUAGUCCUCCAUCAAGUCUCCCAGAAGCUUCUGGGCGUAGCGUCCCUGGGCAGAAUCGGCCACUGGAGAAUACAGAGCUGGUGAUACGCAAUCUCCUGUGAUAUUGAACCCCGUGUUUUGAGAUGUGAUUUGUUGGAGGAUAUUCCUGCCUUCGUCUUUUAUUUAUUUCUGUAAUAUUAAGGUUUUUAUGGCAACGGUUUGUGAGUUUUUCCUUCGUUGAGUGUAGCGCUAGGGGAAUAUCAUAUGCCACAGUACCGUAUAAUGUAUCGUAUCAGACCAUCAGUGCCUGAGCAUGCACACUAUUCAGGCAUGAAAACAUG